rnacentral:tRNA from 1 species
GCCUGGGUGGCUCAGUCGAUUGAGCGUCUGACUUCGGCUCAGGUCAUGAUUUUGUGGUUCAUGGGUUCGAGCCCCACAACGGGCU